GUCGAGCGGUAACAGGGGUAAUUUAUUACCUGCUGACGAGCGGCGGACGGCUGAGUAACGCGUGGGAACAUGCCCCAAAGUGAGGAAUAACUGCCCGAAAGGGUGGCUAAUGCCGCAUAUGAUCUUCGGAUUAAAGGAUUUAUCCGCUUUGGGAGUGGCCCGCGUACGAUUAGGUAGUUGGUGAGGUAAAGGCUCACCAAGCCCACGAUCGUUAACUGGUCUGAGAGGAUGAUCAGUCAGACUGGAACUGAGACACGGUCCAGACUCCUACGGGAGGCAGCAGUGAGGAAUCUUCCACAAUGGGCGAAAGCCUGAUGGAGCGACGCCGCGUGCAGGAUGAAGGCCUUCGGGUUGUAAACUGCUUUUAUAAGUGAGGAAUAUGACGGUAACUUAUGAAUAAGCACCGGCUAACUACGUGCCAGCAGCCGCGGUCAUACGUAGGGUGCAAGCAUUAUCCGGAGUGACUGGGCGUAAAGAG
rnacentral:rRNA from 1 species